rnacentral:rRNA from 1 species
GAUGAACGCUGGCGGCGUGCCUAAUACAUGCAAGUCGAGCGAACAGACGAGGAGCUUGCUCCUCUGACGUUAGCGGCGGACGGGUGAGUAACACGUGGAUAACCUACCUAUAAGACUGGGAUAACUUCGGGAAACCGGAGCUAAUACCGGAUAAUAUAUUGAACCGCAUGGUUCAAUAGUGAAAGACGGUUUUGCUGUCACUUAUAGAUGGAUCCGCGCCGCAUUAGCUAGUUGGUAAGGUAACGGCUUACCAAGGCAACGAUGCGUAGCCGACCUGAGGGGGUGAUCGCCCACACUAGAACUGAGACGCGGUCCAGACUCCUACGGGAGGCAGCAGUAGGGAAUCUUCCGCAAUGGGCGAAAGCUUGACGGAGCAACGCCGCGUGAGUGAUGAAGGUCUUCGGUUCGUAAAACUCUGUUAUUAGGGGAGAACAAAUGUGUAAGUAACUAUGCACGUCUUGACGGUACCUAAUCAGAAAGCCACGGCUAACUACGUG